rnacentral:rRNA from 1 species
GAGUUUGAUCUUGGCUCAGAUUGAACGCUGGCGGCAGGCCUAACACAUGCAAGUCGAGCGGAUGACGGGAGCUUGCUCCUUGAUUCAGCGGCGGACGGGUGAGUAAUGCCUAGGAAUCUGCCUGGUAGUGGGGGACAACGUUUCGAAAGGAACGCUAAUACCGCAUACGUCCUACGGGAGAAAGCAGGGGACCUUCGGGCCUUGCGCUAUCAGAUGAGCCUAGGUCGGAUUAGCUAGUUGGUGGGGUAAUGGCUCACCAAGGCGACGAUCCGUAACUGGUCUGAGAGGAUGAUCAGUCACACUGGAACUGAGACACGGUCCAGACUCCUACGGGAGGCAGCAGUGGGGAAUUUUGGACAAUGGGGGCAACCCUGAUCCAGCCAUGCCGCGUGAGUGAAGAAGG